UUCGAUGCAACGCGAAAAACCUUACCUACCCUUGACAUGUCUGGAAUCCCGAAGAAGAGAUUUGGGAGUGCUCGCAAGAGAACCGGAACACAGGUGCUGCAUGGCUGUCGUCAGCUCGUGUCGUGAGAUGUUGGGUUAAGUCCCGCAACGAGCGCAACCCUUGUCAUUAGUUGCUACGAAAGGGCACUCUAAUGAGACUGCCGGUGACAAACCGGAGGAAGGUGGGGAUGACGUCAAGUCCUCAUGGCCCUUAUGGGUAGGGCUUCACACGUCAUACAAUGGUCGGGACAGAGGGUCGCCAACCCGCGAGGGCCAAUCCCAGAAACCCGAUCGUAGUCCGGAUCAUGAUCUGCAACUCGACUGCGUGAAGUCGGAAUCGCUAGUAAUCGCGGAUCAGCAUGUCGCGUUAGAUACGUUCCCGGGUCUUGUACACACCGCCCGUCACACCAUGGGAGUGGGUUUUACCAGAAGUAGUUAGCCUAACCGUAAGGAGGGCGAUUACCACGGUAGGAUUCAUGACUGGGGUGAAGUCGUAACAACAGGUAA
rnacentral:misc_RNA from 1 species